AAAUGAAUAGACGGGGGCCCGCACAAGCAGUGGAUUAUGUGGUUUAAUUCGAAGCAACGCGAAGAACCUUACCAGGGCUUGACAUCCAACUAACGAGGUAGAGAUACGUUAGGCGCCCUUCGGGGAAAGUUGAGACAGGUGGUGCAUGGUUGUCGUCAGCUCGUGUCGUGAGAUGUUGGGUUAAGUCCCGCAACGAGCGCAACCCUUAUUGCUAGUUGCUACGCAAGAGCACUCUAGCGAGACUGCCGUUGACAAAACGGAGGAAGGCGGGGACGAGGUCAAAUCAUCAUGCCCCUUAUGUCCUGGGCUACACACGUAAUACAAUGGCGCAAAACAGAGGGAAGCAAGACCGCGAGGUGGAGCAAAUCCCAAAAAGGCGUCUCAGUUCGGAUCGCAGGCUGCAACCCGCCUGCGUGAAGCCGGAAUUGCUAGUAAUCGCGGAUCAGCAUGCCGCGGUGAAUACGUUCCCGGGCCUUGUACACACCGCCCGU
rnacentral:rRNA from 1 species